AGAGAUAUAAUUCCUCAAUCCCGGUUUGUUUUCCUUGUGAUUUCCCUGCUAGGUUUGUGGUUUUGAAUCCUUUGAUCGUCGCUGUUGAGAAUUUGAGUUCGGCCCAGAGAUUAUCCGUUUGAGGUUUUUUGAUUUGAGAUUCAGUUUCGUAAUUAGAAUUGGUGUUUCUCUCCUUUGAGGCUGCAGAGAUCGUUUGUUGAUAUGUCGGCUUUUGGGAUUUAUUUACAUGAUUCUCGUUUGUAGUAUUUUGUGAAGAUUAGGUGAUGCCUUCUUUUCUGAAGUCUCAGUUUGUCCGGUAGCGAUCUGUUUUCGUUUUGAUUUCUCCUCUAUCUUCUUCUGUUAUAUAAGUCUCAAUCGCUUCCAGUACUUUCUGGCUUCGUAUCGCUGCUUUCUUUCCUUCAAUUGAUAAUUUAUUUGGAAUAUGUGAUAUGGAAUGUAGGCUUGGUGCUCUUUGGAGUUUCUUUUUCUGGUGUGAGGUUCGGUUUGCAAUUAGGUCUGUUUUUUCUUCUUUGUUGAUUGUUUGUAGGUCAGACGUUUCCAUUGUUUGAUCAGGUCUGAGUGAUGAUUGUAGGAGAAUGAUUAGGGGCUUAUAGUGGCUUCCGGUGGGUGAUUUCUUCACAUGGAAUUGCAGUUAGUACCUUCAUCCUAAUCAUAGCCAUGGUAUCUCACCCACUAACUACUUUAAUAAAUAGCAUGCCUUUGAGGAUUGUAACCUCUUGGUUUCUCCAUGUUCUUAUUUUCUUCCCUGCCCUGUAUUUUCACGAGUCCUUUAAAAAAAAUAUUUAAUUGUUUCGAUUGAAAUUUCUUUUGUUUCCAAUAUUCAACAUUUAUGUUGACAACAUUGACAGCAGAUAAGAAGUUUCGCCUUCAUUUUAUUUAUGUCAAUUUCUAUUAAACCUGCUAUUCCUAUCAUGCUAUUGCUUCUGGUUUUUCGGAUUUUGCAAUCCUUCAACUGUGUGUUGGUGAGAUCCAUUCUAGAUGCAAUUUUUGGGGAAUCAACAUGCAUUCAGGUUUUGGGCGAUUCUGAGGUUGCUGUGAGAUUCCUCUAUGCAAUUAAGUACUCUGUUUUUUUUCCAUUGAUGGUAUUUGGAGUUGUAAGUUUGUGUUUCUGAUUUACCUGAGCUCCUCCUCCUAUUUUGAAAGGUGUGCUGGUGUACACUGAUUUGCCACACUAUCUGAGCUAUCAAUCCCCUGAAUUCUCAGAGCAAUUUCGCUCCCCCUGCUGGCUUGCAAUUUCAGAUAAUGAUUCCGUGACCUAUUCUAGUGCUGUGUUAGAAGUAGGGGACAACCACAGCGUGGAGACUACUGCAUAUCUCGACUUUCAUCUUAUAUUUUGAUGCCAAUAUCCUUUUAUUCCUCGCAUCAACUUCUUUUACCUUGACUACUUCAAUGCCUUUUUGGUCUGGUCAUCAGUGGAUUCCGUAACAGGUGUGAUGUCAGUGUCAAGGAUACAUAGAUGGGUUAUCUAAAAUUUAAUCCGUUGUCUCUACAGGCAUAAGUGUCUUACUUUGGUGUUUGUGUGGGGAAGAUGCAUAGCAGGUUCCCCCUUUGGCUAUAGGUAUUGGAUAUUUUGUGUCUUCGAGCUUUGUCAAGAUUUCUGCUAAAUGGAAGUUCUCAGCUACAAUAAUUCUUUUUGCCAGUGUGUAUAGUAUAUUCUGCUGCCAUUAGUUUUGAGUCCAGAUGCUCGGAUCUUCCAUGAUCCAAUGGACGGAUGGAUGUGUAGAGACCACAUGGUGAAAUUCCAAAGGUCGUUGUAUGCACCCUGGUCACAUUUUUUCUUGGUCCUAUUUUGUGUUUGCACUGUAAUCCGGUUAUUGUCAGGCCUUGAAAAGAGAGGGGGACUUCCAAUGUCAUCUCUGGAAUAUCUAGUAAUUUUGUAGUUAGUAUGGGUUUCGCCAACUUUGCACUUAACUGUUGCCUUUUUCCUGUGCUUGCAGCUGUGGGUAGUCUAUCUGUCACUAUAUAACUCACUCACUACCAGUACCUUCUAUCAUGGUGUCGCUGCUUUCCUAUGAUUGGUAGUUUAUAUAUUUCAGUUUUUUUUUUUUUUUUUGAUUUUCUGUAGGUUUCUGAUUUGCUUUUCUUUGUUCGUUUAUUCAAGCAGGUGAUUGGGGUUUGGGAGUUCUUUUUGAGUUUUUUUUUUUUGGUGUCAGAUUCAGUUUGCAGUUAGCAUUGUUUUCUUUUUCUUCUUUGUUGAUUAGAGAUGGUUGUUUGUAUGUCAAUGUUGCCAGUGUUUGAUCAGGUUCUGGGUAAUGAUCAUAGGAGAAUGAUAGGGACGUUUCGGUGGCUUGGAUGAGUAUUUUCUAUUUCGGGAAGGUGGGUGAUUUCUUCUCAGGGAAUUGCAGCUAGUACCUUCAUCCUUCUCAUAGUCAUGGUAUCUCAUGGAUUCCCCUUUACAGAUAGCCUUUGAGGACUUUUUUUUGGUGCCAUUGGUUUCUGAUUUGCGUCCUUCAACUGUCAAUGCUAAGAAAUGAGUCUGGCUUGCUCUGGUGUGACGCAUUCUAGAUUGCACUUUUGGGGGAACCAAGCAUGUUUUCAGGUUUUGGGCCACUUCUGAGGGUUUUGUUGUGAGAUUCCACUAUGUUCCGUAUGGAUGCUGGGCAUGUUAGCAGUUGUGUUCCAGUUCUUUUCCCAGUAGUAAUGAUGGAUGCAAGGAUUAUUCUGUGUUUUCUGAUUUGCACGAGCUCCUCCUAUUUUGAAAGGGAUGCUGGUGCACACUGCUUUGCCACACAUUGAGCUUCACUCUCCUCAAACCUCAUUAUCUUUGCUCCCCAUGCGGACUGGAUCUUCAGAUGAACAAGUCAGUGAUCUAAGCCUGUGUGAGAAGCAGGGAACAAGUCCAGCAUGGAACUAUCGGUUUGGAUUUGAUAUCUUCCAUCUUAUAUGCUAAUAAAUAUUGUCUUGUUCUCGCACCAACUUCUUUUACCUUGACUGUCUCAAUGCUUACUUGGUCCGAUCGUCGGUGGAUUUCAUUCCUAGGCUGUGUCAGUUUUCAAGGCUGCAUGGAUGGGUAUCUAAGUUUUGAUCCAAGGGCGCAAGUGGUUCUACAGGUGUAAGUGUCUUGCUUUGGUGUUUGUGUUCAGAAAGAUGUAGAGCAAGCUCUCAGGUUUUCAACCAUAGGUAUCGGAUAUAUUGGUGUCUCUUAGUUUUGUCGAAACUGCUCUUAAGCUCUCAAUUAAGAUAAUUCUUUUCACAAGUGUGUAUAGUAUAUUGUGCUGUCAUUUUAGUUUUCAGAGAUGCUUAUGGAUGAGAUCUCUUAUGGUAUGGACACCUGAAGAGUACUCAAACUCAAUUCUGGAUCCUUUGAUAGUCCUGUGAAGUGCUCCUCUACUUUAUGCGUCCUCUUUACUUAUCUUCUCCAUUUCCGUUUUCUUAUGUUUUAUCACGUCGGCAUGAUUUUGUUUGUUGGAUGAAUGUGUAGACCACAGGGUGACAGUAAGUAGAUCACAUGGUCACAGUAAUAAGAGUAUUAGAUUUGGAAAUUUCACAGGUUGGUGUCCAGUAUUUGGUGCUUGCUCUGUGACCGACCUGGGUGUUGUCACGCUCCGAGAAAAGGGGGUUUUUCAAUCUUGUCUGGCAUCUCUAGUUAUUUCCUUGUUGGCUUGGGUUUAGCCAACUAUGCACUUAACUGUACUCUUCUUUCUAUACUUGCAGUUGCCGUGUCUUAGAGCAGCGAUAAUUGCUUUUCACGACGCUCCCCUGUUUGUGGUGUGCGUUAAGGUUUCUUUAGUUCAGGGUGCUUUGAGUAUGGAAAUUUUCUGUUCAGUUUUCUUCCCUAAUCCAAGUGCUUUCCUUCUCUCACCACAUGCUCUUAGAGAUGGUGCUCUUCUAUUAGUUAUGCUCUUAGAGCUCUUCUAUUAGUUCUUUUGCAGAAAAUCUAACAUGUCUGUGGUGAUUCCAUUGCAUGGCGGUGGGUAUUGAUUAUUUUCAUUCAACUUUUGGUUCUUUUAUUUGGUGAUUUAUCUGCAGCCGCAAUUGAUUAUUUCCAUUUUAAGGUGUAAUCAAGCCUUGCCAGCAGUGUCUAGAUUCAACUUGCAGUAUUUGUAGGGCUGCCGUGCUGUUGUCCUUAUCUGAAGUUAAUGGUCAGCAGAAGAGAGAUUUUGGAUAUCAUAGGUUUUGAUCAGUCAGUAUCUUUACUAGUAUUAACAAGUCCGUCAUCAAUCCUACCCAUAUAUAUCAUAAGUAGGCCAUGACAUCAGUGUGGAUGGAGCUAUAAGUUUGGUUUGAGAUCUUGACUUUCAUUGUAAUGUUAGUAUUUAUGCAAGUAGUAUCUUUUUCUCGCACCGACUUCUUUUACCUUCACUUGUAGUGCUUAUUCGUUUCGAUCAUUAGUGGAUUUCAUUUGGUGUUACUUGUCAAAGGAUACAUGGAAUAGGUAUCUAAGAUUGAACCGUGGUUCUGAAGAAAUAAGUGCCUCCUUGCCGUGGUGUUUUUCUUUUGGAAGAUGCAGAGCAAGUUUUCAGGUCUUGGACUAUAGGUAUUGGAUAUUCACGUCUCACAGCUUUCUCAAAACUUGUAUUAUAUGGAAGCUCCCAGUUAAGUUAAUUCUUUUCACAAGUGUAUGUAUUCUGCUUUCAUUUUUAAUUUUUAUUCCAGAUGCUUAUGUCUGUGAUGGUCCAGCUGAUGAGAUUUUAUUUCCUUAACGGAUGGCCGGAUGGGUACUCAAAUUUCCAUCUUUUGAUAGCUGCAUAAAGUGCUCUACUUUUGGUGUUCUUGCUACUUACCUUCUCUGCUUCCGUUUUCUUUUGUUCAUCACACCAUCUUUAUUUCGUCUGUUGGACGAUGUGUAGACCAGAUGGUGACAGUAAUUGAGGAUUAGAUUUUGAAAAUCCAAAGUGGUGUCCAAUAUGGUGUUUUCUCUGCACCCUGUAUUUUGUGAGGCUUCGAGGAAAGGGGGUUUUUCAAUCUUAUCUCUGAAGUCUCGUUAAUUUCCUAGGUGGUAUCAGUUUGCACUCAACUGUUCCCUUCCUUCUGUGCUUGCAGCUUCUGGGCCUUAGAGCAGUCAAUUCUUCUCAUGGAGUGCUCUUGUUUGUUGAUUUGCUUUAAGGUUUCUUUAGUUCAGGCAGAUCUAGGUAUCAAGAUUUUCAAUUCAAAUUUUCUUCCCUAAUCAGAGUGCUUCCCUUCUCUCAGCUUAGGCUCUUGAUAGUGGUGCAUUCUAGUAGGUCCUUUUGCAGGAACUUUAACAUGUCCGUGGUGGUUUCCAUGCAUGGCGGCGGGUAUAUUGGUUUUUUGGUUCUUAUAUUGAGUGAUAUAUCUGCAGCCAUAAUCAAUUACUUAUAUUCUAUGGUGUGUACUUAUGUCUGAUCAAGCUCGUGCCAGCAUUGUCUAGGCGUUUGUGCAAUUGGCAACACUUGUAGGGGAACCUUGUUGUUUUCCUAGUCUGAAGCUCAGUCAGAAUAUAUUAACUAGAAGAGACAUUUUAGCAUACGGCUGGUAAGCAGGGUUUCCCCUUGUUAAUAAAUUUUUUUACCUUACAAAAAAAGAGUGACAUUUCAAAUCUAACAGAUUCUGAUCAAUUGAUGUCUUCACCUGGUAGUAGAGGACUUUUGCUGCUCAUAGUUUUUGAUCAGUUCAUUUGUGGAUCUGCGUUUAAACUGUUUGCUAUUGGGUAAAUGAAGCCUCUUUGUUUGGAGAUCUCUUUUGAAGCAUGCAUGUUAUGUUUAAAAUAUUCGCUCAUUUGGUGACUUGCUUCUUUUGCUAUUAUGUAAAACUUUCUGUGUAAGAGAGAUCUCCUUCACAUUUUUUCUCCACAGAACAUUUCCUCUUGAACAAAAAGAGCUUGAUUCAUUGAUUCUAAAAUUCUCUUAUUUUAAUUUUGUAAAUGCGUAUAAGGUAAUUAUUUUGUUCUUCGUAAUAGAUCUUCACAAGAGUAUAUAUCUUUUGGAACCCUUGUGAAUCUACCACAUAUGUGAUCAUUGUGCAAGGUGGCAAGUUUUUCAAAAUCUUAGUUUAGAGUUGGUUAGCUUUCUUUUUAAUACUUCCAAAUUAGCUUGUAAUAAUUUGCUUAACGUGGUUGAAUCAGCAUUGACUAAUAGGCAAUCGUUGUGCCAUUAUUCUUUGUUUUCUUGCUACGUUGUGGAUGUAUGUUUAGUCAACUGUCACUUCACAACUAGUAUGAUCAGCCAAAUUUCACUUCACAGAUGUGUCAAUUUGGAUCACCGUCAAAGGCUCGGGGUAUCCCUCAAAAGCACGUGGCUGGUUUCUAUGUAUACCCACCAGGCUCAGUUUUUUCUCGCUUUACUCUAUUGUUAUUUUCCAACUCGAGCAACAUGCCACUAUUUGCUCUGCUUUCUGUAGAUGUGGUCACAAAUCUGUCAAUUUGGAUCACUGUCAAAGGCUGGGGUAUCCCUCAAAAGAACGUGUCUGGUUUAUAUGUAGAGCCACCAGGCUCAGUUUCUUUUCACUCUACUCUAUUGUUAUUUUCCAUCUCGAGCAACGAUGCAACAAUAUGCUUUGCUUUCUGUAGAUGUGGUGUGAGCUAGCAAGAUGGCUGAGUUAGCUUUUGGUUUCAUUACAAAUUCCAGCUCUGGGUUAGCUAUUCGUGUUCUCGCAUUCUAUUCUAGUUUGGAUUAUUUUCUUCCUACAGGCGUAAUCUAAUAUGUGUCGCUAGGGUGAUGCUGCUUCCUCCGUCGAUUGAGUUAUGAGGGUGCACAGUACAAGGUAUCAAGGCAUUGUGAUAUUGGAGCUGUUGGUUACAACUUCAUUGCUUGGUCACUUCGUUGUCAGUCAUGUUUUAAACCAGCUAUAGUUUAUUUCUUAUUUCUGAUGUUGUUGUCCUUUGGUUUCUUGGACUUCUUGUAUUGUUGAUUGAUUAGGCACCUUGAAUAAAAUAAAGGAGAUGUUCUAGGAAUUAUCCAACAUCCCUGACCGAGCUCGACCAUUUUGAGAAUGCUGCCGUCUUUGCCUUUAUUCAUAGUGUAUCGCUCCAUUCCCCCUGUUGCACUUCCAUGUAUGGCAUGUGCACUUCUCAUAUGGCAUGAUUAUAGUGGAGUUAUUCCUAUUUUAUCAUCUUCUCUUAUAUAUAUUUAUGAUCUCUAUUCCACUGGGCUUUGAUAUUCUCUGUUGCUACAUCAUCAGAUGUAGGAAACAAGAUUUUGGUGAAGAGAGUUAUACUAUGAUUUUUGGCAUUCAUGUGCUGAGGAGUUGUUUCCAAAACCUGUUUUGGGUAUUUUUUGGUGUGAUGCAGUUUCAAUUAUCUCCCCCUCCCUUGAUGGUUAGCGGUCGUCGGUGGUGAGUCAGCAUGUGUAAGAUCUUUGCAGUUUCAUUUAGUUCUGCCUUCUUUCUCCCCCUCCCUUGAUGGUUAGAGGUGUUUGGUGGUGAGUAACCAUGUGCAAGGUCUUAAGCAGGUCUUUCAUAAUAUGCGAAUGAGAAUGUUCUGGUGUUUUUGAUUACAUAACCUCUUGUAUUUUGGGAAGGUGAAGCUGGGGUGACAUAAUUUUUUCAAAGCUGCAGCUAGUCUUCAGUGGUUUCUAUUCUCUUUUAUUCACAUUCACCAGUUAUUUUCUUGUCUGACAUCUGGAGUAUUACAGGAAUAUUGAGAAUGAGCAUUUGGUUUAUGAAGUGAUGCAUAUGAUGGUAUGACUCUUGUUGUGGAUCUCUUUUUUAUCAGGCUCAUGGACAAACAUCACUAGUGGUGAAUUUCAUAUGAAUUCAUAUGUAGAAGUUGCAUAACCAUCCUGUAUGUUUCAAUAUGCAAUUAGGCGAGGUGUCUUUGGUUGUAACUUUCAUAUGGUCCCAAAUGGAUUGGUUAAUUUGGCAAGUGAAGGAACUUAGGCUACUUAAAGAGGGACAAGUUGUUUGCUUGGGUGAUCUCACUUCGUAGUUUCUUCGAUGUUCCUUGAUAUCUUUUAUCUUAUUUAUGAAGGAGCAGAAAAUUUGGGACCUGCAUAGUCGUAUGUACAUGGUAGAUGCUGUAUGUCAAGAGCUUAGGUGGGUGGAAUUCCUUCGUAGCUUUCUACUUUUUUUGGGUAACAGUUUUUAAAAAUGUUGUGCUGGAGUUAUUUUCUGGUGGAGAUUGCUUCAGUGACGAUCUAUAUGGGUUUCUGGUGGGAAGUUUUAGCUGGUCGCAAAACAUUGAUUUCAGGAUAUAUUCCAUGCUUGCUUUUUACAGUGCAACUUUUUCAUGGAAUGAACAUACUGGUCAAUCCCUCCUCUCGAUGCAGUUACCCCGUAAGCAAUCUUUCAAAAAGACUAGGAAAUAACAUCUAUCAAGUAAGGUUCUGUUCUGGGCUGGUGCCAUGACAUUUUUACUUUUAGCUGCUAGGCAUCUUCAAAUUAACAUCUCGUCAGCUGAAGUCAUGUUCUGCUCUAACUAGCCAGGUCCCAGUUGUCUAGUUCUCUUGAAGUCCUAUGGGGAAACAAUAUUUUCUUCCCCGUGAAUGUUCCAUUGCAGUCAAGGGGGCUCUGCUUUUCAGUAUCUGCUGGAAUUUCUGCGGAGGAACUUUCAUAUCACAUCUGCUAUUGUUGCAUGAUGGUUCGGGUCCUAGACGGGCAGGGAGUUAGCAAGGUGAACUCCAUAUCUUGUUUAGGGAAUUUUAAGUGCUUUACGUGGUUAGGCUGGGGGCCAGUUUGCGCUACCACUGUUUGGAUGUUCGUUUUGCUCACAUAGUUCUGCUUGUACAACACUCCUUUACUUUAAGGUAAAAGGAUGGAAACCGAGAAGGACAUAGUACCAUGUGCAGGUAUGCAAUGAGGUGUAAGUGCAUGUGCUGUCAAUUGAGCUUUUUUGGUCCGAGGGAGCCUGUCAUAUUUUCUCUGUUUGCAAGGAAAGAUAUCAGCCUUGUACGAGUUGUAACUUAUUUCACCAAAUAGAUAAAAAGAAAACGGACACCCAGCUUAUAGGUUUUGUAGUUUGAUAUACCAAUGAUGUGGUUGAAUGUAAAUGUGAUUUCAUUUCAUCUUCUUUUGAGAACCUUGGACGUGGUAUUAUGCAAUGUUCUCGUUGGUAGGGAUCUCACAGUGGGGGAAUUUUGUACCUGCAAUUUGCUUUUUUAUUUCCUGCUUGUUUUUUAAAGAAAAAAAUAGUAAAUAAUUUCUUUUUUGUUU